UUCUAAAAUGUUUGAUUACAACUCUUGAUGUCCACAAAGAAGAGUUCCUUUGGUAUUUAUAGCCAAAGAAAUCAAUGAUGAGUUACAAUAUAAUAACUACAAUUGUAACUCCCACAAUAACUAGGUUAAUUAUGUGCUAAUUACAAUUGUAACUCCAACAAUAACUAGACUAAUUAUAAGCAUGUAAUUGUUAUGUAACUCCAAUAUUCUUAAC
rnacentral:lncRNA from 1 species